UACGAAGGGGACUAGCGUUGUCCGGAAUUAUUGGGCGUAAAGCGCGCGCAGGCGGUCCUUUAAGUCUGAUGUGAAAGCCCACGGCUCAACUGUGGAGGGUCAUUGGAAACUGGGGGACUUGAGUGCAGGAGAGAAGAGUGGAAUUCCACGUGUAGCGGUGAAAUGCGUAGAGAUGUGGAGGAACACCAGUGGCGAAGGCGACUCUUUGGCCUGUAACUGACGCUGAGGCGCGAAAGCGUGGGAGC
rnacentral:rRNA from 1 species